rnacentral:rRNA from 1 species
CGUGGAAACACCGGUUCCGGUACGAUCACUGAAGUUCAGCAACGUCGAGCCUGGUCAGUACCUAGAUAGGUGACCGCUUGGGAAUACCAGGUGCUAUA